UUUGAUCUGGCUCAGGAUGAACGCUAGCGGCAGGCCUAAUACAUGCAAGUCGUACGGGAUUUCAUCUUUCGGGAUGGAUGAGAGUGGCGCACGGGUGCGUAACGCGUAUGCAACCUACCUGUUACAGGGAGAUAGCCCGGGGAAACCCGGAUUAAUAUUCCAUAGUAUUGAUUUACUGCAUGGUAGAUUGAUUAAAGCUUCGGGUGGUAACAGACGGGCAUGCGUAGGAUUAGCUAGUUGGUGGAGUAACGGCCCACCAAGGCGAUGAUCCUUAGGGGUUCUGAGAGGAAGGUCCCCCACACUGGCACUGAGAUACGGGCCAGACUCUACGGGAGGCAGCAGUAGGGAAUAUUGGUCAAUGGGCGAGAGCCUGAACCAGCCAUGCCGCGUGCAGGAAGACGGCGUUCUGCGUUGUAAACUGCUUUUAUCUGGGAAGAAAAAGCCCUUGCGAGGGAAAUUGCCGGUACCAGAGGAAUAAGCACCGGCUAACUCCGUGCCAGCAGCCGCGGUAAUACGGAGGGUGCAAGCGUUGUCCGGAUUUAUUGGGUUUAAAGGGUGCGUAGGCGGCCGAUUAAGUCAGCGGUGAAAGUUUCCGGCUCAACCGGGAGACUGCCCGUUGAUACUGGUUGGCUUGAGUUAUGGAGGGGUACAUGGAAUUUAUGGUGUAGCGGUGAAAUGCAUAGAUACCAUAAGGAACACCGAUAGCGAAGGCAUUGUACUGGCCAUA
rnacentral:rRNA from 1 species